UCCCUAUGGCUAGUCACCACAAUGUUGUUUUAAGUGUUACUCUCUAUUUGAAUUGCAGUUGCAUCCAGGAGACUCAACUAUGUCCAUAAGCUCAGAUACCACUAGAGAUGGUCUCUGUGCCAGGAACUGGGCCCCAUAAGGUGAUACAUCAGGGAGCAGAUCUUUUCAAGAGGAUGAUGGUCAAUUGCUCUCUGGAUGGUGAUGGGAGACUCCACUGCAAAGGUCCUAAGAACAGCAUCUUUUGGUCCGAUCAGUGAAACAUGUGCUGGCUGGUCUCAAAUGCUUUGGUGCUUACGACUGUGAGUGAAGAAAAGCCUGCUUUCAAAUCCCCCUCAAACUCUGGUGUGCAUCCACUCCAAAGAGUCACCUGCAAGACCCAGAGCCUUGGACUUGGCAGUGGAGCCUCCUAUCAACAUCUGGUCUGAGUCAGGAGAGGAGCAGGAAUGACAAAUCAUCAGAACUGUACCUGAGACAAGAGCCAACCCC